rnacentral:lncRNA from 1 species
AGUUGCCGGGACUUUCAAGACUGGUUUUGUCUGGCCACAUUGCCCUUUGCUGCAAAGGGAGCACAAGCAUCCUCCUGAUGUGCAUCAUGGGGACAAAGCCUCUCAAAAAUGACACCCUUUAAAAAAAAUAUAAUAAAAGAUAUAUAUUCUUUACUACUAAAGCUCAGGGCUGUGCGACUCCAUUCUGACACUGUGCUGGUUGUUCCAAAUCCGUACACAGCACUGACACCAAAAGGCUGUUUGUGCUGCCGUUCAACAGCCCGGCAUUACCAGCAGGGCCAGGCUCUUUUCCAGUCACAAGCCCUGUCACUUGUUUUCCACUUUAAAUGGGAUGUGGCCGUGAUUUGAUUUGUUAAUGUUUUCAACCUGCAAAAUGUCAAGUGUCUAAAGCUUUUUUUGCUCAUUUGGGGAUACAGGUGAAAUCACCAAUUCACACUGACAAUUAGAAAAACACACAGAAAAACAUAUUUUUUCCUCUAUUUAUUUUUUAAUAGAAACAACAACAAAUUUUUUUUUAAAUUAUUACUCUCUUGUUUCUUAAAGCAGAGCAGCAUUGUCCACUACAGGUUUCUUUGGGGCUGGCAGAGAAGAGCCGUGAUCCAGCAGGGGAUGCAGGGCCGGGAUGGGCAGUUUUUCCAGCUGGUGCUCGUUAUGCUCAAGUCUUUUUUUAACCAAGCGUUCCCAUAAAUCCAAAUUGAUGGAAUAUGGAGCUUUGGGGUGUUGGGGCUUCUUUUUUACUACUUCAUGUGUUUCUCUAGUGUCAAGUGUCACGGAAUUCGUUCUUUCUUAAGCUUAGCUUCGAUUACAAGAAAUAAAACAAGCUACUGGAGUCUGACAGUUCCUGACCUUUGCUCAUGCAAAUAUACAAAUACACGACUACACGUCAAUCCGAACCACAAGGUUUUGGAUGCUCAUUUAACAAGAAAACAAGUCCAAGUCCUGACCCACACCCACCCUCCCGUACCCGGAGCCACGUGGCACUUGCGAGGAACCAGCAGAGUUUCAAGUCCAACCCUAAGGCUUCCUUGGAGAGGCCUUUUGGUCCGGGAUUUUGUCAUUGCUUUCCCUCUUCCAUCACCCCAAGUCAGGAAAGGCCAUUUGGACACCCUGGCACGUUGGCUCUUUGUAGGCAAGUGGUGCCUAAACCUUCGCAAUCCUCAUCCUAAACAGCUCUGCAAGACUUACACACGAUUUGCAACCUACGAACAGAAGCAAUGUCCUCACUUGUGUACGUGCAUAUGAAGGCAAAAGAUUUAAGCUACUUAAACACAGAUUAUUUUUUUAUUAUUCUUUUUUUUUUUUUUUUACUGAAAGUGAGCAACUUCCAUUGAAUCUCCUGGAAAUUACGUCAGGGUCGUCUUUUUUCCAAGUGUGCUCGAGCUGCUUAACUAAAACUUGUCCACUCCAUUCAAUACACAGCUUAUUUAACAUUUUAUAUACAUUAUGCCUCCACACGUGAUCCCGCGGUGACCACGAGAUGUGGAAACUAAUCAUCAGUUAUUUAAAAAAAAAAAUGUUCAAAUCCUUCUCCCACGGAUGGAGUUUUGUCAUGGACGCAACAAGUGGGAGCUUUGAACCCGAGAGUGACAAGCAUGACCUCAAUUAAACUGUUAUGCUUCCUUAGCAAAAAAAAAAACAGAGUGGGAGAAGACUUAUAAAAGGUCUAUUGAAUGGAAAUGUCCAUGUGUCUUCGGAUCUACUCGACUUGUCUAACGCUGAGACAAAGAGGAGCCAAGAGUAGCUGCAGUUGAGGAAGGAGGAUGCGCACAGGACUGAACACAGAUGCUCUCCUGACAGUGACACCAAAGGCUCUGCUGAUGGUUGGUGGGGUUUUUUUGGUGGUAAAGCAACCAUAAGGCUGCACUUGUUUGUUUGUUUGUUGUUUGUUUUCCUCCUCUCCCCAAGAACAACAGUGAAAAUCAGUUUUGCCGUGGUGCUUCGGCAGGGCGACCACCAGCGUUGUUCUCAGUGGCAAAUACGGCUGCCAGGCUUUUGUAUUUUCAGUUACAAACACAAGAACAAAUCCAUCGUGGACCUACUAUCUCACACUUUGAAGGACUUUUCUAAGUGUGUGGAUUUGUUUGGACCAGAUGAGAAAGGAAAGCUACGGCUGAGAAGGAAAACGAGAACAACGACGACGACAAUAAAAACAGUUCUAUUUAUGAAACCAUACAGUUUAAAUACCAAAAUACAGACUACUGGUAAAGUCCCUUACAAUAGAUGCCCAUUCGGUGAGAUCAUAACUAGUGACAGAUGAACUGAAAAAGUUUGGAGAAUUGAGAAAAACAAGGAACAGGUCAGAGAAUCGUGUGGGGUAAACGUUCCCCUUUACAUUCCUACGAUCUCAGUUCAGCUGGAAAUAAUACUGCUGAAAAUCUGCCGUUUUCAAGCCCAGAAGAACCCAUGAAUACAAAGAGAAAUGAAAUACGAACAGGUGGGGGUUUGUCUUGUUUUAUUCUGGAUCUGGUUCUAAAGAUCUCACGCCAAAACUGCACCAGCUUUUCCAAACCAGUUCCUCUAUGACUAGUCAUGAUAUUUUACUAUAGAGUUCCUCAUUUACAUAAAACAAGUAAAAGAGGUCACAAGUGUUUAAACGAGUAAAUCAAGAAAAAAAAAUCAGUUGUAUUUGCAGUCAGAAAUAGGUAGAAAACACAGAGUCUUUUAAAAAAAUUGUUGUUUAAUAAAUUUGGCAGAGGAUCAUAUUGAAACACAAGUUGAUCACCAAGAAAAGUUCAAAAAUCUGAUAAAAGUGUUAGGAAAAAACCCCAAAACUGUAAAAAUGUGUUAUCAUUGGAACUCAAUCCUUAGAUGAACCAAGACUAUAUAUAUAUAUAUUUUUUUUUUUUUCUUUUUUGAGGGGAAGAAGGGAUGGGGGAACUGUUUUCCAGAAACAAUGAUUUCUCAGCCCCGGUGGCCCAGCCCUCCUGGCGGUCACCAGGGCCGGAGAC